UUUUUUUUUUUUUUAAGAUUUUAUUUUUUUCCUUUUUCUCCCCAAAGCCCCCCCCCCCCCCCCCCCGGUGCAUAGUUGUAUUAUAUUCUUUGUUGUGGGUCCUUCUAGUUGUGGUAUUGAGAAGUGCUCUUAAUAACAACUGUAAGAGAGUGAGACAAACAUAAUUGAGCAUAGCAAGAAGUGGAACUGACACGUUGUAUGUCACAUAUCAUAGAUCAACGUAUCCUGGGUCACAUAUCCCAUCUGAAAUGGGUAGCAUCAUCCGAGAGGGAGAACUGGAAUGUUAUGUACUGGCUUUUGCAUGCUUUGGUUAAAAGCAAAGCAAGCCACUUCUGCCCACAGUCCAUUGGCUAAAGUAGUCCCUUGGUGCUACCUAACUGCAUGGGGCCUGGAAAAUGUGUAUGAAACAGAUGGAAUGCUUAGUGCAGUUAUCCCAUCUGCUAUGGGAGAUAAAGGAAGUGUUCCAUAUAAGCAAGAUCUAACUACAUCACCUACUAUAGACUAAUCAAGGUGUCAAUAAUAUUAUGUGUCACCACAUUUGAGAUUAGCAUUAAACAAAUAACCAUAUGUAUAAGUAGAGACUCAAUACAUAAUUACUGAAUUGCGUAAAUAACAUCUAAACUUCCAUGUGUAUUUGUUUGGUAUCAAUUUUUAUUUGUAAUGCUAUUUCAACAGUUUACUCAAAUUUCCUCCAAAUGGGUCCUCCUUGAAAAAUUUUGUUCCCCAAAUGUUGAAUCAAUUGAAAUAUAGGCUCAAUUGUUUCAGCACCAAAUAUGUAAUAAAUGUCUGAAUGACUUGGUAGAAGGAAGGUGAUGAAUAAACAACAUAUUGUUUCUGUAUGAUGAACAUCUCUUCUUUUAGAAAUAUUAUCCACGUAGAUCUAUUUCACUUUUAUUGGACUUGGCCUGAGUGAACUGCUAUAUUUAUUGAAAAUAGUAUAUUCAGAGACAGAAAUGUGGCCAACAGCUUUCUUUACAAUCCUUUUGGCCUUAACCCAAGGCAAACUAAGGUCAAAUUUCGUUCAUCACCUGACUACUAUGAGGCUUGUUCCCAUCAAUAGAUUGCAAUGGCAUUCUGAGGACCAGAGAUAUCAGCCCAUAGAUCUGAAUAACCACUGGUCCCUGAGCAAAGACUGAAAGAUUGCACAUUUGUGCUAUAAAACAAGGCAUUUCCUGAAAGCUACAUACCAUUGCAUUCUUUGACUCUUUAAGCACAGGUAUCACUAAUUUAGGAUAAGGCAGAAUAGAGUUUUCCUAAGCAAGGGUGGGAUGGGGUGUUACUGGAAGGGAACAUGAGGGAAAUUCUGGGAAUUGGGUUGACAGUCACAAUACUCUGGAAUAAAGAAAAAAAACCCUGGUUUCCCAGAUCUACAGAAGUGUUGCUGUGAUAUUAAGUAGAUGCUAAGGGGGUUGCUGAAAGAAGGAAACACAAAGGAAAUUUCUUGGGAGAUGGAAAAGUUGCUUUGUUUUGUUUUGUUUUUUGAGUAAGAUUAGCCCUGAGCUAACAUCUGCCACCAAUCCUCCUCUUUUUGCUGAGGAAGAUUGGCCCUGAGCUAACAUCCAUGCCCAUCUUCCUCUGCUUUAUAUGUGGGACGCCUGCUACAGCAUGGCUUGACAAGUGGUGCAUAGGUCUGCACCCGGGAUCCAAACUGGCAAACCCCAGGCCACAAAUGUGAACUUAACUGCUGUGCCACCAGGCAAGACCCUGGAAAAGUUUUAUAUCUUAUUUGGGGUGAUGAUCGUUUGAGUAUAUACUUUUUUUUUUUCCUGAGGAA
ensembl:lncRNA